rnacentral:SRP_RNA from 1 species
GCCGGGUGUGGUGGCAUGUGCCUGUAGUCCCAGCCGCUCAGGAGGCUGAGGCUGUAGGAUCGCUUGAGUCCAGGAGUUCUGGACUGUAGUGUGCUACGCCAAUCAGGUGUCCGCACUGUCUGGCAUCAAUAUGGUGACCUUUCGGGAGCGGGGGACCACCAGGUUGCCUAAGGAGUGGUGAACCGGCCCAGGUUGGAAAUGGAGCAGGUCAAAACUCCCAUGCUGAUCGGUAGUGGGAUUGCACCUGGUGAAUAGCCACUGCACUCCAGCCUGGGCAACAUAGUAAGACACUGCCUCU